GGUGAGGUGGGUGAGUGGCUGAAACCACAGGUUUGCUAAAUCUGCAUACGCGAAAGUGUAUCGAGGGUUCGAAUCCCUCCCUCACCG
rnacentral:tRNA from 1 species